rnacentral:rRNA from 1 species
GAUGAACGCUGGCGGCGUGCUUAACACAUGCAAGUCGAGCGAAGCAAUUUAAGUGAAGUUUUCGGAUGGAUCUUAAAUUGACUGAGCGGCGGACGGGUGAGUAACGCGUGGAUAACCUGCCUCACACAGGGGGAUAACAGUUAGAAAUGACUGCUAAUACCGCAUAAGCGCACAGUACCGCAUGGUAUAGUGUGAAAAACUCCGGUGGUGUGAGAUGGAUCCGCGUCUGAUUAGGUAGUUGGUGAGGUAACGGCCCACCAAGCCGACGAUCAGUAGCCGACCUGAGAGGGUGACCGGCCACAUUGGGACUGAGACACGGCCCAAACUCCUACGGGAGGCAGCAGUGGGGAAUAUUGCACAAUGGGCGAAAGCCUGAUGCAGCAACGCCGCGUGAGUGAAGAAGUAUCUCGGUAUGUAAAGCUCUAUCAGCAGGGAAGAAAAUGACGGUACCUGACUAAGAAGCCCCGGCUAACUACGUGCCAGCAGCCGCGGUAAUACGUAGGGGGCAAGCGUUAUCCGGAUUUACUGGGUGUAAAGGGAGCGCAGACGGCACUGCAAGUCUGAAGUGAAAGCCCGGGGCUCAACCCCGGGACUGCUUUGGAAACUGUAGAGCUAGAGUGCUGGAGAGGCAAGCGGAAUUCCUAGUGUAGCGGUGAAAUGCGUAGAUAUUAGGAAGAACACCAGUGGCGAAG